UGGCUCCGCCGCGCCCACCAGAGCACCGCCCCCGCCCCGCCCCGCCCCGCCUGCUCCGAGCCCCGACCCGGCCCGCGGCGAGCGUCAGGGGAAGGAAUCCCCCGGCACCUGGGCCCUGCACCGACACUCGCGGCUGCGGCAGAGGGCUUCUCCCCGGCGGGGAGCGCGCCCCUCUCUGGGCAGAGUGGGGGAAUCCCGGGGCCGGCGCCUCCCUGGCGGAGCUGGGGGAGGGGAACCACCUGGAGCCUGGAGGGCGUGCGAGGGCGAGGUGAGCGGACCUGCGCAGGAGGACUGACGUUGGAGGGUGAGAAGCAUAUCUGGGGUCUCAACAGCCCCCAUCGGUGUACGCUCAACUCUCCAUGACGCGAGGUGGGUGCCUGCAGUCACACCAGCUGCUCUUUCUGGAGGGAAAAUGAAAUCGAAGACACAGAUGGAGGCAGUCCAGUUUAAAGCAGAGCUUCAUAAACAUGGAGACUUCUUGGGAUGUUAUUAAGAUUUAGUACCUGAUGCAGCGAGUCCAGCUGGGUCCUGAGAGUCUACCUUUCUAACACUUCCCAGGGAAGUGGAGACUGCUGGCCCAGGGAGCACACUUUGAGUAGCAAGGGUUUAGGGUCAAACACCCUGAGCAUCUUCGGGUCUGAUCCUCCACUCACUGGUGGUAUUACCAAGAGUAAGUUACUUCUCUCUAAGCUUUAGUGUCGUC
rnacentral:lncRNA from 1 species